rfam:Aspergillus wentii DTO 134E9 unplaced genomic scaffold ASPWEscaffold_1, whole genome shotgun sequence.
GGUGCCAUAGUCUAGUGGUUAGGACAUCAGGUUUUGACGCAGCUAUCUAAAGCUUGCAAAGCUCCUGAGAACCCCGGUUCGAUCCCGGGUGGCACCU